AUUGAACGCUGGCGGCAGGCCUAACACAUGCAAGUCGAGCGUGAAAGUCCUUCGGGAUGAGUAAAGCGGCGGACGGGUGAGUAACGCGUAGGAAUCUACCUGGUAGUGGGGGAUAACGUUCCGAAAGGGACGCUAAUACCGCAUACGUUCUGCGGAAGAAAGCAGGGGACCUUCGGGCCUUGCGCUAUCAGAUGAGCCUGCGUCCGAUUAGCUAGUUGGUGGGGUAAAGGCAUACCAAGGCGACGAUCGGUAACUGGUCUGAGAGGAUGAUCAGUCACACUGGAACUGAGACAAGGUCCAGACUCCUACGGGGGGCAGCAGUGGGGAAUAUUGUACAAUGGGCGCAAGCCUGAUCCAGCCAUGCCGCGUGUGUGAAGAAGGCCUUCGGGUUGUAAAGCACUUUAAGCGGGGAGGAAGGCCUGAUGGCUAAUAUCCAUCAGGAUUGACGUUACCCGCAGAAUAAGCACCGGCAAACUUCGUGCCAGCAGCCGCCGCUGUAA
rnacentral:rRNA from 1 species